UACGUAGGCAGCAAGCGUUGUUCGGAAUUACUGGGCGUAAAGAGUGUGUAGGCGGUGUUCUAAGUCUGUUGUGAAAUCUCCCGGCUUAACUGGGAGGGUGCGGCGGAAACUGGAAUGCUAGAGGAUGGGAGAGGUAAGCGGAAUUCCUGGUGUAGCGGUGAAAUGCGUAGAUAUCAGGAGGAACACCUGUGGUGUAGACGGCCAACUGGACGAAUACUGACGCUGAGACACGAAAGCGUGGGGAGCAAACAGG
rnacentral:rRNA from 1 species